CGUAGCCAUUGUUACCGCCUUUUCCCUCGGCGAGCGCGGCGGGGUUGGGAUUGUGAAUGGCGGUCGCAAUGCGGGAGGCCGGGCCUGGCGAGCGGUGGGGACCUUCCUUCCCUCGUGGAGGUGUCUCCCAGUCCGCAGGGCCGGCUGGGCCGGGUCCCACGCGUGCAGGGGGCGAUGGGGGUGAUGGGGGCCGCGGACCCGGGCACGCGGCGCUAGGGCCCCGCAGGCCCGGCCGUGGCGGUGAGGACCGCACUGGGGCUCCUGGAGCGGCUGCCCGGAGAAAGAUGUCUUGAAGUAAAAAGGCCUGGUCUCAAUGUAACACAGAGUCGGGACAGGGGAGAGGUCAGGUCACUCUUUAGGGAUGGCCAUGCUGUGAAGCUCUUCAAGUCCUGCAGCAGGCAGUGAGACAGCGAAAGCAGGAAAUUCUCCUGGGUGUUUAUGCUGAAAACAUGUUGUCUGAGGAGAAGGAAUCCGGUAAAACACAUGUGAGCUCGGGGACUGUAGAGACUACAUUUUUCUGCCCUAAAAUGUUAAAAAAUCUGAAGUUACACAUUUUUGAUUAUACAUUUAUUAAAACUGUCUGGAAAAAUG